rnacentral:rRNA from 1 species
UACGGAAGGCAGCAGUGGGGAAUAUUGCACAAUGGGCGCAAGCCUGAUGCAGCCAUGCCGCGUGUAUGAAGAAGGCCUUCGGGUUGUAAAGUACUUUCAGUCGUGAGGAAGGUGUUAAGGUUAAUAACCGUUAGCAAUUGACGUUAGCGACAGAAGAAGCACCGGCUAACUCCGUGCCAGCAGCCGCGGUAAUACGGAGGGUGCGAGCGUUAAUCGGAAUUACUGGGCGUAAAGGGCACGCAGGCGGUUAAUUAAGUUGGAUGUGAAAUCCCCGGGCUUAACCUGGGAAUGGCAUUCAAGACUGGUUAGCUAGAGUCUUGUAGAGGGGGUAGAAUUCCAUGUGUAGCGGUGAAAUGCGUAGAGAUGUGGAGGAAUACCGGUGGCGAAGGCGGCCCCUGGACAAAGGACUGACGCUCAUGUGCGAAAGCGUGGGGAGCAAACAGGGAUUAGAUACC